ACGCUCAGGACGAACGCUGGCGGCGUGCCUAAUACAUGCAAGUCGAACGCUUCUUUCCUCCCGAGUGCUUGCACUCAAUUGGAAAGAGGAGUGGCGGACGGGUGAGUAACACGUGGGUAACCUACCCAUCAGAGGGGGAUAACACUUGGAAACAGGUGCUAAUACCGCAUAACAGUUUAUGCCGCAUGGCAUAAGAGUGAAAGGCGCUUUCGGGUGUCGCUGAUGGAUGGACCCGCGGUGCAUUAGCUAGUUGGUGAGGUAACGGCUCACCAAGGCCACGAUGCAUAGCCGACCUGAGAGGGUGAUCGGCCACACUGGGACUGAGACACGGCCCAGACUCCUACGGGAGGCAGCAGUAGGGAAUCUUCGGCAAUGGACGAAAGUCUGACCGAGCAACGCCGCGUGAGUGAAGAAGGUUUUCGGAUCGUAAAACUCUGUUGUUAGAGAAGAACAAGGACGUUAGUAACUGAACGUCCCCUGACGGUAUCUAACCAGAAAGCCACGGCUAACUACGUGCCAGCAGCCGCGGUAAUACGUAGGUGGCAAGCGUUGUCCGGAUUUAUUGGGCGUAAAGCGAGCGCAGGCGGUUUCUUAAGUCUGAUGUGAAAGCCCCCGGCUCAACCGGGGAGGGUCAUUGGAAACUGGGAGACUUGAGUGCAGAAGAGGAGAGUGGAAUUCCAUGUGUAGCGGUGAAAUGCGUAGAUAUAUGGAGGAACACCAGUGGCGAAGGCGGCUCUCUGGUCUGUAACUGACGCUGAGGCUCGAAAGCGUGGGGAGCAAACAGGAUUAGAUA
rnacentral:rRNA from 1 species